AUGGCACCGCGUACAUGUGCUGGUACAUGUGCACACACACGUCAGAAUUUAGAUUUCUUAGUCACCUGUGUGCACGUGUUCGACUUGGCCACGCUAUCACACAGUCUCCCACAUUCCUGCUGGAGCGUGUGCUCCUGUCCUUGCCAGCAUCACCGGGUGGGCUCUGUAUCAAUGCUCAGGACCACAUGGGACCCUGGCCAAGGGCAGGAGGGCUUUGCCCUGGGAGCAGCUGAACAUAGAGGGUCAGGACAGCAAGGGCGCCGCGUGGGAGGGGGGCGGGGCGGGGGUGGGGCGCGCUUUGCCCCAGACUGUGUGAGUCACGGGCUGGCCCCCGUGUCUCUCAUCAAGGGGACAGGGCCCGAGUCCUCUGCACUCCUGCCGCUCUGGGCGCAGGCCUGCUCUCAGCCUGCACUGCCGGGCCGUGGCUCGGUCGCUGGCAGGCUGGGACCUCCGUAGCGGCUAUUCCUGGGUGUGAUGGCCUGGAGAUCUGC
rnacentral:lncRNA from 1 species